AUGCUCUUCACUCUUGUCUCUCCCAACCACUGCUGCUUCACUUUUCUCCCCCCCACACCACUGCUGCUUCACGCUUUGUCUCUCCCACACCAACUGCUGCUCACUCUUUGUCUUCCCCACACCAACUGCUGCUUCACUCUUUGUCUCUCCCCACACCAAACUGCUGCUUCACGCUUUGUCUCUCCCCACACCAACUGCUGCUUCACGCUUUGUCUCUCCCCACACCAACUGCUGCUUCACUCUUUGUCUCUCCCCACACCAACUGCUGCUUCACUCUUUGUCUCUCCCCACACCAACUGCUGCUUCACUCUUUGUCUCUCCUCCCCACACCAACUGCUGCUUCACUCUUUGUCCUCCCACACCAACUGCUGCUUCACCUUUUGUCCUCCCCACACAAACUCGCUGCUCUCACCUUGUCUCCCCCACACCAACUGCUGCUCACGCUUUGUCUCUCCCCACACCAACUGCUGCUUCACUCUUUGUCUCUCCCCACACCAACUGCUGCUUCAUGCUUUGUCUCCCCACACCAACUGCGGCUUCACUCUUUGUCUCUCCCCACACCAAACUGCUGCUUCACCUCUUGUCUCUCCCACAACCAACUGCUGCUUCACUCUUGUCUCUCCCCACACCAACUGCUGCUUCACUCUUUGUCUCUCCCCACACCAACGCUGCUUCACUCUUUGUCUCUCCCCACACCAACUGCUGCUUCACUCUUGUCUCUCCCUCCACACCAACGGCCUUCACUCUUUGCUCUCCCCACACACCAACUGCUGCUUCACUCUUGUCUCUCCCCACACCAACUGCUGCUUCACUCUUUGUCUCUCCCCACACCAACUGCUGCUUCACUCUUUGUCUCUCCCCACACCAACGCUGCUUCACUCUUUGUCUCUCCCACACCAACUGCUGCUUCACGCUUUGUCUCUCCCCACACCAACUGCUGCUUCACUCUUGUCUCUCCCACACCAACUGCGCUUCACGCUUUGUCUCUCCCCACACCAACUGCUGCUUCACUUUUGUCUCUCCCCACACCAACUGCUGCUCUCUCAGGGUCUCGGUGUGAGAGGUGUCCUCUGAACUACUGUGGCAGGAAAUCAUAUGAAUUUAAUGUCUGAUGUUAGGUUUUAUGUGGUCUUGUUUAUUCCUUUGUAACUAGGUUUUGAAAUUUUAUUGUAAUGUAAAUGAAGUGUUUUGUAAAUUCACAAGGAUUUGCUUUAUUACAUAUUGAUUGUAUCAUUUUGGUUUUAUUACAGGUAUGGAUGAUGCUACAGUGUAGGUGCAAACCUUCAGUUUGAUUACCAUUUAUUGCACAAAUAAUAAGCAAUGCUUGUGGGGAUUUCUUGUGUACUUUUUUGAUUGACUUGCAAUGCACUUUCAAGCAAUUACUUAAACUUUUGACAAGAGAUUUAUUUUAUUCUUCAUAACAUCAUUAUGGUUCUUGAGCAUUAUGGGAAAAUAUUUGUUGAAAAUAGCUCCUCCUGAAAAAUAAGGAUCAUGAAUGUUUGCAUUACAAUUUCUGCAACACAUUUAAUGACAAAAACACUAUUGCACUAUUGUACUAUGUCUAUUAAAUAAUACUGUUAAAUGUGUACAGAUGUAUUUUCAUUUCACUCGUGAGUUUGGCAUUAAGCGUUAGACAACCCUAAGCAUUAGAGGGAGAGUUUGAAAGAUGAGGGGAUGUCAAACCCAAACCCCC
ensembl:lncRNA